UACAGAGGGUGCGAGCGUUGUCCGGAAUCACUGGGCGUAAAGGGCGCGUAGGUGGCCCGACAAGUCUGUGGUGAAAGCUCGACGCUCAACGUCGAGUCGGCCAUAGAUACUGUUGGGCUGGAGCACUGUAGAGGCUCAUGGAAUUCCGGGUGUAGCGGUGGAAUGCGUAGAGAUCCGGAAGAACACCGGUGGCGAAGGCGGUUAGCUGGGCAGUUGCUGACACUGAGGCGCGACAGCGUGGGGAGCAAACAGG
rnacentral:rRNA from 1 species